AUUGUGGUUAUUUCCUUUGAAGAUUUGACUGUUGUUAUUUCCUAUGAACAUGUGUUCACCACAGAUCGACGGAGAAGAGGUGAAACUGACACUUUUAGAUCUACGGCCCCCAAACCCUAAUGCGUUCAAACAUUCAGAUCUGGUAUAAGAUCGAUGGAGAAGAGGUGCCACUGAUACUUUUAGAUCUACGGCCCCCAAACCCUAAUGCGUUCAAACAUUCAGAUCUGGUAUAAGAUCGUGGUUAUUUCCUUUGAAAAUUUGAUGAUUUAACAUGCAACUGAGCUUUUAGAUCUGCUGCUCACAAACCCUAAUACGGUCAAACUUUUAGAUCUGGUAUAAGGUGAUGAUUUUGUUGCAAAACAUGACUUAACGAAGAUGAAUCAUGUGGUUUGUUCGAAGCCUAGGCGAGUCA
rnacentral:lncRNA from 1 species